rnacentral:rRNA from 1 species
AAGGAGCAGCGGGGAAUUUUUUGCAAUGGGCGAAAGCCUGACAGAACAAUACCGCUUGAGGGAUGAAGGCCUAUGGGUUGUAAGCCUCUUUUCUCAAGGAGGAAGAUCUGACGUUACGUGAGGAAUGAGCAUGGACUGGCUAUGUGCCAGCAGCAGCGGUAAUACAGGGGAGGCAAGUGUUAUCCAGAGUAAUUGGUGGUAGAGCGCGGGCAGCCGGAUAUUUAAGUCAACUAGGUUAAAUCUUUAAGCUCUUCAUAAAGGAUGCGAAAGAAACUAAGUAUCGAGAGUGUGGGAGAGGUAAGGGGAAUUUCCAGUGGAGCGAGAAAUGUGCUAGAGAUUGGAAAGGCCACAAAUGGCAAGGCCCAUUCAUUGGGCCAGCCCCUGCCUCGAGGGCCGGAAACUGUGGGGACCAACCGGGAUAAGGUACCCGGUUAUUCCAGCCCUUAACGAU